GUUAUUUCGUUUUUGUGUGAACAUCAUAGAGUGUACUUACACAAACCUAGAUGCUAUAGCUUACUACACACUUAGGCUACAGGAUAUAGCCUAUUUCUCUGGCCGUCAUAUACUCAGUCCAUUGUUAACCGAAACGUUUUGCAGUGCAUGACUAUAUAUUUAUGUAUAUAUGUAUCUGGGUCAUGAAAUACAUGAUAUUUCUUUAAUGGGUCAUAAUUUGAAAAAUAGUUUGAAAAACACUGCUUUUAGUGUCUUGAAUAUGCAGUUGCAACUCAAAUUUCUAGUAAAUUUUAGUUCUAGUAUGUUUGUACACUUGUGACUUUGCAUGAUCUCAGGGCAUCAGUCCUUCAAACACGAUACAUCACGUAUAGAAAUAGAAGAGAAGCUUUGGAUGAUGAAGAUAGCAACCCAAAGAAAGAGAAAUUUAGACCUGCCAGGAGUACUUCUGCCUCACAGCCCUGUAUGUGUUCUCUACCCAGAAGACCUGUAAUACUCCUGGUCCCUUCUUUACUUCCCUCAGGUCUCCACUCAGUUUUAAUAUCAUAAAAGAGGCCUCUUCUGACUACUUUAUUAAAAGCACAAUUCUCCCUUUA